GACGAACGCUGGCGGCGUGCUUAACACAUGCAAGUCGAACGGAAAGGCCAUGCUCUUGUGGGGUGCUCGAGUGGCGAACGGGUGAGUAACACGCGAGUAACCUGCCCCUGACUUUGGGAUAAAUUCAGGAAACUGGGGCUAAUACCCGAUAGGAUCUCCUGAUGCAUGGUGGGGGUUGGAAAGAUUCGGCGGUUGGGGAUGGUAUCGCGGCUUAUCCGCUUAAUGGUGGGGUAGUGGCUUACCAAGGUUUUGACGGGUAGGCGGCCUGAGAGGGUGACCGGCCACAUUGGGACUGAGAGACGGCCCAGACUCCUACGGGAGGCAGCAGUGGGGAAUAUUGCACAAUAGGCGGAAGCCUGAUGCAGCAGCGCCGCGUGCGGGAUAACGGCCUUCGGGGUGUAAACCGCUUUCGCCUGUGACGAAGCGGGAGUGACGGUAAUGGGUAAAGAAGCACCGGCUAACUACGUG
rnacentral:rRNA from 1 species